rnacentral:lncRNA from 1 species
GGAAAGACCCUUCUGAGGGUUGAAAAACCACCACCCUCGGGCUUUAGGGUGGGGUCGGAGAACGAAGAAUGCUCGAAAGAGAGAAAUACAAGGAUUGGUCGGCAAAAGCCGAUACAACAAAACAAAACUGACUAUCAGUCGGACUGAGUUCGGCGCCAGUUGCGCCGGACAAAGUCUGUAAUAGUCCAGUAUGUUCUAGACGAACUCCAAAACUGAAAAGCGAAGAUCGGCCUGGAGGUCCUCGACGUAAAAAGCCAUCUGGCCCGAAGGUAGGUUGUUAACCCGACCAUCGACCCCAGGGGCGAACAUUCAAAACUGCUCUGGGAUGCAGUACUGCUCCCUGAGCUGAUCGACGUUCGACCUCGAAAGUGAAAAAACCUCCACCUCCAGGGUCGAUCGAGAAUCGUCGGUCGGGUUUCCCGACUGACUUCCUCGUGGGGAGGUCCUGGCCAUGACACUAGAACUAAGGUCGAAGGAAGAAGAAGAAGAAAGGAGAAAACUUCAAGGAAGCAAAGAGAAAAUGAGGAGAUGAAGACGAGGGCUUCGAGAAAACUUUCCUAGGAAGAAGGUGGGGACAACUACCUGAGACAAGAGGGACCACUCGACCAGAGUCUCGACAACAGGGCUACGAAAAGUGGAGUUUUGGAUGCA